GACGAACGCUGGCGGCGCGCCUAACACAUGCAAGUCGAACGAGCGAGAGAGAGCUUGCUUUCUCAAGCGAGUGGCGAACGGGUGAGUAACGCGUGAGGAACCUGCCUCAAAGAGGGGGACAACAGUUGGAAACGACUGUUAAUACCGCAUAAGCCCACGACCCGGCAUCGGGUAGAGGGAAAAGGAGCAAUCCGCUUUGAGAUGGCCUCGCGUCCGAUUAGCUAGUUGGUGAGGUAACGGCCCACCAAGGCGACGAUCGGUAGCCGGACUGAGAGGUUGAACGGCCACAUUGGGACUGAGACACGGCCCAGACUCCUACGGGAGGCAGCAGUGGGGAAUAUUGCACAAUGGGGGAAACCCUGAUGCAGCGACGCCGCGUGGAGGAAGAAGGUCUUCGGAUUGUAAACUCCUGUUGUUGAGGAAGAUAAUGACGGUACUCAACAAGGAAGUGACGGCUAACUACGUG
rnacentral:rRNA from 1 species